CCUACGGUGCGCAGCAGUCGAGAAUCAUUCACAAUGGGGGAAACCCUGAUGGUGCGACGCCACGUGGGGGAAUGAAGGUCUUCGGAUUGUAAACCCCUGUCAUGUGGGAGCAAAUUAAAAAGAUAGUACCACAAGAGGAAGAGACGGCUAACUCUGUGCCAGCAGCCGCGGUAAUACAGAGGUCUCAAGCGUUGUUCGGAAUCACUGGGCGUAAAGCGUGCGUAGGCUGUUUCGUAAGUCGUGUGUGAAAGGCGCGGGCUCAACCCGCGGACGGCACAUGAUACUGCGAGACUAGAGUAAUGGAGGGGGAACAGGAAUUCUCGGUGUAGCAGUGAAAUGCGUAGAUAUCGAGAGGAACACUCGUGGCGAAGGCGGGUUCCUGGACAUUAACCGACGCUGAGGCACGAAGGCCAGGGGAGCGAAAGGGAUUAGAUACCCUGGUAGUC
rnacentral:rRNA from 1 species